GUUUGUAGUUCAGUGGUGGAGCAUUUGCCUAGCAUGCAAGAGGCACUGGGUUCAAUCCUCAGUACCACACA
rnacentral:tRNA from 1 species